AGGGAAACUGUAUAUGUAUUGUGACAAACUACUGCGAAGUUGGAAAUAUAUUCGAAAGUACAAAGAAGGUUGUGAGGAGGAAGAAUAUCGCUCCACUGAAGGAAGACGGUGUUUAUAUAUUAUGUAGUUUAUUUAAUUUAAUGUAAGUUUCAAUUUGAUUUUAUUGACUCAUGUAUUUUGUAUGUGUAAUUGUACGAUGUGUUGCAAAACAGUUUUAUUUCCGAAAUCAUUGUUUGGUUUUGUGGAA